UUGACCUCAAAUCAGGUAGGACUACCCGCUGAACUUAAGCAUAUCAAUAAGCGGAGGAAAAGAAACUAACAAGGAUUCCCCUAGUAACUGCGAGUGAAGCGGGAAGAGCUCAAAUUUGAAAUCUGGCAGUUCUUGAACUGUCCGAGUGUAAUCAGAGAAG
rnacentral:rRNA from 1 species